AAAAAGUUUAUCCAACAAUAUUGAAUCAUUUGAAUAAGAUAUUCAAAAAUAUUAAAUCAAGGCCUUAAAUUUCUAGAAUGGGGAGUUUAGUAAAUAAAACUGUAAAUGUGAUAUUUUUUAGCACCAUUGUUGCUUUAGGGUGUGCGCAAACGGUGUGCCAACUCUGCUCAGGCACACUCUAAUUCAUGGUCAAAGUGGCCUCCUUGUUACCUGUUUAGAUCUGUCAGGGGCACUUAUGCAUGUGUUAGGGUCAUUUUGUUGUUUUUUUUUUUUAUUGAAAAACAUGACAAUCUCUGUUUAUUCCUAGUAAUCAGAGGAAAAAUGCAUAUUUGAAAAAUUAGAUUUUUAAGCAAAGUUUAGAUGGAAUUUGUUUUUUCGGAGUGCACAUCCUAAUUCAGUGGGCUGCCACACAUAUCUUUGAUUACCACCAUAUUUAUGUGAAGAGUAACAAUCUCUUUACAUAUCCUAGCAGUUCAAAAAGUACAGGAGCCGUCUAUCAUCUUUCUGAUCUAGUAUAUCUCAAAAAGGGCUGUUAUCAUAGGUGGUGUUUAAAGGCAAACUGACCUAAAUUACUUUAAGAUGUCUUACAUACUCCAAUGAUGAAGUUAGAUAACAGCUGUGCAGUUAUUGGGAUUUGGGGUGAAUAUACCACUGUUCAGUUUUAUUAAUUGUAGAGAACUC